UACGUAGGCAGCAAGCGUUGUUCGGAAUUACUGGGCGUAAAGAGUGUGUAGGCGGUGCUCUAAGUUUGGUGUGAAAUCUCCCGGCUUAACCGGGAGGCUGCAUCGAAUACUGGAAUGCUAGAGGGUGGGAGAGGUAAGCGGAAUUCCUGGUGUAGCGGUGAAAUGCGUAGAUAUCAGGAGGAACACCUGUGGUGUAGACAGCUUACUGGACCACUUCUGACGCUGAGACACGAAAGCGUGGGGAGCAAACAGG
rnacentral:rRNA from 1 species